CCCUUAGAUGUUCUGGGCCGCACGCGCGCUACACUGACGAAUUCAACGAGUCUAAAACCUGCUCUGAUAGGGGUGGGUAAUCUUUUGAAUGUGCAUCGUGAUUGGGAUAGAUGAUUGCAAUUUUUCAUCUUCAACGAGGAAUGCCUAGUAAACGCAAGUCAUCAGCUUGCAUUGAUUACGUCCCUGCCCUUUGUACACACCGCCCGUCGCUCCUACCGAUUGAAUGAUCCGAUGAAUAUCAUGGAUUGAGGAUGCAAGUAGGUUCGCCUAUCUUCAUCUUCGAGAAGUGAAGUAAAUCUUAUCAUUUAGAGGAAGGAGAAGUCGUAACA
rnacentral:rRNA from 1 species